rnacentral:snRNA from 1 species
AUCGCUUCUCGGCCUUUUGGCUAAGAUCAAGUGUAGUUUUUAUU